GAUGAAGAACGUAGCGAAAUGCGAUAAGUAAUGUGAAUUGCAGAAUUCAGUGAAUCAUCGAAUCUUUGAACGCACCUUGCACCCUUUGGCAUUCCGAAGGGUAUGCUCGUUUGAGUGUCAUUGUACUCUCACACUCCCAAUUGCUUUGGAUUGGGAGCGGUGGACUUGGGUGUUGCUGCUUGACUGAGGCUCACCUGAAAUAUGUUAGUGCACCUCUUGAUUGGACAUAGUACGGCGUGAUAAGUGUCUUCGCCGGCUCCUCACAAAGAGGGUGGCCGAUCGGGAGCUCUGUUGCUUCAAACUGUCUUCGGACAAUCUUCUGGCGACUUGACCUCAAAUCGAGUAGGACUACCCGCUGAACUUAAGCAUAUCAAUAAGCGGAGGA
rnacentral:misc_RNA from 1 species